AGACGGAGGAUGCAAGUGUUAUUCGGAAUGAUUGGGCGUAAAGAGUCUGUAGGCCGUAUAGAAAGUCUUUUGUUAAAUGCCUCGGCUCAACCGAGAUCCAGCAAAGGAAACUUCUAUACUUGAGGGAAGUAGAGGUACAGGGAAUUCCCGGUGGAGCGGUGAAAUGCGUAGAUAUCGGGAAGAACACCAGUGGCGAAGGCGCUCUGCUGGGCCAUCACUGACGCUCAUGGACGAAAGCCAGGGGAGCGAAAGGGAUCAGAUACCCCUGUAGUCCUGGCCGUAAACGAUGAACACUAGGUGGUCGGGGGAAUCGACCCCUCCGGUGUCGUAGCCAACGCGUUAAGUGUUCCGCCUGGGGAGUACGCACGCAAGUGUGAAACUCAAAGGAAUUGACGGGGGCCCGCACAAGCGGUGGAGUAUGUGGUUUAAUUCGAUGCAACGCGAAAGAACCUUACCGAGGGUUUGACAUCCUGCGAAUCUUUAGGAAACUUGAGAGUGCCGUUCGGGAGCGCAGUGAC
rnacentral:rRNA from 1 species